UACGUAGGGUGCGAGCGUUAAUCGGAAUUACUGGGCGUAAAGUGUGCGCAGGCGGUCUCGCAAGUCCAGUGUGAAAGCCCCGGGCUUAACCUGGGAACUGCGCUUGAAACUACGAGACUCGAGUGUGGCAGAGGAAGGUGGAAUUCCACGUGUAGCGGUGAAAUGCGUAGAGAUGUGGAGGAACACCGAUGGCGAAGGCAGCCUUCUGGGCCAACACUGACGCUCAUGCACGAAAGCGUGGGGAGCAAACAGG
rnacentral:rRNA from 1 species